UUGAAUGCGAUUAUUUAUAACAAGUAUUUUAUAAGCUAUGAGAAAAAAUAGAUCAUGUUUAUUAAAUUGAUACUUUCAUUACGAGUACACUUAAUCGUAAUCGCGGAAUUAACGAUAGGAGUGCGAUGAUACGUAUACGAUAUGCGAAGAAAUACGCGAUAGCGGACGAACGUCUGGUAGGUCGGUUAAAAGGCGGAUGAAAACGCAGGCGAAGACGAGUUAGGAGAAAUGUUGCUCUAAUUAAGCGACGUAAGUUUAUUAAACCCCGAGCUUAAAAUAGCGGACGACGCAUUACCCAGGAAUGUAAGGGCAGUCCGGUUUUAUUGCCGGUCGAGCCCUAAGAUUAACUCGCACUCGCCGUUUUGCACUCGGGUCUCGCCUCGAGGAAUCGUUCGCACUACACGUCGCCAAAAACAAUGUGCUCUCAUUGAUGAGCCGAGAAACGACGCGAAAUCGAUGAGCCGCGGUCCUGUCUCUCUCGUGUGAAAGGUGAAAAAUUAGAACUGAGCGAUCGAUCGGCGCGGCUGCGGUGGGCGCCGUUUUAUUCGGUGGCGUAAAAUGAACGUAUAUAUUCGCGGGAAAAUGGGGGUAGAGCCUAAGAAACGAUCGAUUACCAGUCGUGUCUGAAAUUAGGUUGACCGAAGAACCACUAGAAAUAUCAGAGCGAUGACUCUCGAAGCGUGGGACAAGAAGCAACGCGAUAGAGACAGUUUGACAACGCGCGGUCGACAGAUAUUUCAAACGAGCGUAUAUACACGCCUUCAACGAGAGAAAGAUUAAUACUUCGGAGAUAUCGUAUCAAUGUCGUAAUCCCGUUAGCCUUUCAAUUGACAUAGUCCCUAAUGUAGACCGAUCACACGGAUACUAUCAGCGUAAAUACUCAUUUCAUGCAAGUAUCGAAGGGACGUUUAUAGCCAAAGAAUGUUAUUUUGAAAUACGAAGAUCUGUUUCAAAAUAAAAUAUGAUAAAUUGCAUCUACUGAUGAAUAUCAAUUUAUUGAAUUUGGAAUCGAUUUUCUUUAACAGAAUUAUCCAAUUGUUAGUAAUCUUUAAUAUAGGUAAUUAAAAUAAAACAAAUUUCUUUCACACAUUAAUCUUCGGCGGUGCAAAUAAUGUAACACAAUUGUAUUCUUUACUUAAUUACAAGUAAAUUCUAUCCCAAUAAAAUUUUAAUUUGGCAUCUAAUUGUCAAGAUAUAUUACAUAAAAGACGUUUAAAAGAUAGGGCGUUCAAUCAAUUAAAAGAACGUCAAGACUCUGAAUAAAACGUAACGUACGUUCCCGAUCUGGAGAUGGAUGUGGAAAUAAGUGAAAAAGGUUAAAGCCUUUGAGCCAAAAUUUUUCGAGGCAUUUCUUCUCGGAACAGCAAAAAGACGAACGAUAUAUCGCGCUUAUCUCCAUCUUAUAUGUAUAUAAAUGCUUCAAGUAUCAAGCCUUGCGCUGAAUCGACGUUGACGAUGCGGAGUCGACAAGUAUCAACAUGGAAGCUGCGACCGCGAGGGUCAGGAUUAAAUAUAACCGUGGCUCGGGCUAUUUAUAAAGAUUAACUUGUUGGCGAGAUAACGAAGGAGGAGAUGGAGACAACGGCGCUAAAUUGUCGCAACAAUUGCGCGGGAACCGACGGAUUCCGGGGCGGCCGUUCCUCGUGCCGCUUUGAGCUUCGACCUCGUUCUCAUCUCGAGUCGUCGAACGUCAAUCGUACUUGUCUUUGGCGCUUGAAAGUCAUAAAUGAGUAAAACCGUCAACCGAAGAUAUGAGGGUUGAAAGAAAACAUCGAAAUGUUCGUCGAUAAGCACCGGUUUCCUGACACUACGCAUUACGCGGGAAAUAUAUGACAGUGGAGAGGAAUACGAUAACGGAAGUUUGUGCACCUGGAGAGCGCCGUCGUUGUUCCGCAGCGACGCGGGAGAGAGAGCAGACUGCAGUCUGGAAUUUUAUUUACACUAAGCAUUCUCGUACACGGUGGAACGUUCGCGGCGUUAUAGGCGCGUAUCCACGUGCGCAUUCCGAAAAAGACUCGGAAGGAAUGUCAGACUCGUUCCAUUCAGAAGAAUCGGUUACCACGUUUAACUACGCGCGAUGCUUAUUCGAUUGGCUCGAAAGAAAAAAACAGAGUAAGCAAAAAAACAGAAAAAAUCACUCAUGUUAUAGAAGAAAAAAAUUAGAUAAGACUGAAUUUUUUAACACACCGGAACUGUGACUCUUUCAUACGAAUAUGAUAUCAAUAAAAAUUAUUCAAAAAGUA